AAGACCUUGCACUUUUGGAGCGGCCGAUGUCUGAUUAGCUAGUUGGUGGGGUAAUGGCCUACCAAAGCUUCGAUCAGUAGCUGGUCUGAGAGGACGGCCAGCCACACUGGGACUGAGACACGGCCCAGACUCCUACGGGAGACAGCAGUGGGGAAUUUUGGACAAUGGGCGCAAGCCUGAUCCAGCCAUGCCGCGUGAGUGAAGAAGGCCUUCGGGUUGUAAAGCUCUUUCAGCCGGGAAGAAAAGGUUGCGACUAAUAAUCGCAAUUCAUGACGGUACCGAAAGAAGAAGCACCGGCUAACUACGUGCCAGCAGCCGCGGUAAUACGUAGGGUGCGAGCGUUAAUCGGAAUUACUGGGCGUAAAGGGUGCGCAGGCGGUUUUGUAAGUCAGAUGUGAAMUCCCCGGGCUUAACCUGGGAACU
rnacentral:rRNA from 1 species